GCAAACUUGGUCAUUUAGAGGAAGUAAAAGUCGUAACAAGGUUUCCGUAGGUGAACCUGCGGAAGGAUCAUUAUUGUAAUCUCUUAUGGGAGCUCUGACAUGUAUGGUGCUGGCAUUUUGCAAUGUGCACACACUUGUUAUCUCUCAUUAUAUUCCAACCCACACCUGUGAACCACUGUGGAAAGUUGAAUGUAAUGGAUGAAAGUCCUUUACUGCCAACUAUUCCAUUUUUUCAAUACACACCACGUUGAAAUUUUAAUGAUUUGAAGUUAUAUAUUGAGAAAUCAAUACAACUUUCAACAACGGAUCUCUUGGCUCUCGCAUCGAUGAAGAACGCAGC
rnacentral:misc_RNA from 1 species